rnacentral:rRNA from 1 species
AAUGAACGUUGGCGGCGUGGAUUAGGCAUGCAAGUCGUACGGGCCGCAAGGCCAGUGGCGCAAGGGUGAGUAAGGCGACGGUAACCAACCCCAUGACUGGGUAUAGCCGCGGGAAACUGCGGGUAAUCCCCAGCGAUGUAAAGGGCCGGCAUCGGUCUUUUACCAAAGCUCCGGCGCCGUGGGACGGGCCGUUGUGGUAUUAGGUAGUUGGCGGGGUAACGGCCCACCAAGCCGAUGAUGCCUACCGGGCGUGCGAGCGUGGCCCGGCACACUGGGACUGAGACACUGCCCAGACUCCUACGGGAGGC